GAUAGUCUAGUGGUUAUGACGUCUGCCUUACACGCAGAAGGUCGCGAGUUCAAUCCUCGCUCCU
rnacentral:tRNA from 1 species